rnacentral:rRNA from 1 species
AUUGAACGCUGGCGGCAGGCCUAACACAUGCAAGUCGAGCGGUAGCACAGAGAGCUUGCUCUCGGGUGACGAGCGGCGGACGGGUGAGUAAUGUCUGGGAAACUGCCUGAUGGGGGGGGAUAACUACUGGAAACGGUAGCUAAUACCGCAUAACGUCGCAAGACCAAAGAGGGGGACCUUCGGGCCUCUUGCCAUCAGAUGUGCCCAGAUGGGAUUAGCUAGUAGGUGGGGUAACGGCUCACCUAGGCGACGAUCCCUAGCUGGUCUGAGAGGAUGACCAGCCACACUGGAACUGAGACACGGGCCAGACUCCUACGGGUGGCAGCAGUGGGGAAUAUUGCACAAUGGGCGCAAGCCUGAUGCAGCCAUGCCGCGUGUAUGAAGAAGGCCUUCGGGUUGUAAAGUACUUUCAGCGGGGAGGAAGGUGCUGAGGUUAAUAACCUCAGCAAUUGACGUUACCCGCAGAAGAAGCACCGGCUAACUCCGUGCCAGCAGCCGCCGUAAUAC